rnacentral:rRNA from 1 species
AGCAGCCGCGGUAAUUCCAGCUCCAAUAGCGUAUAUUAAAGUUGUUGCAGUUAAAAAGCUCGUAGUUGAAUUUCGGGAUCAAUUAGUCGGUCGUGCCUCUGGUACGUACUGGUUUUAUUGGUUCCUCCCUUCUGACGAAACAUGAUGUCAUUAAUUUGGUGUCGUGGAGAAUCAGGACUGUUACCUUGAAAAAAUUAGAGUGUUUAUAGCAGGCUAACGCUUGAAUACAUUAGCAUGGAAUAAUGAAAUAGGACGUUCGACCCUAUUUUGUUGGUUUCUAGGAUCGACGUAAUGAUUAAUAGGGAUAGUUGGGGGCAUUAGUAUUCAAUUGUCAGAGGUGAAAUUCUUGGAUUUAUUGAAGACUAACUACUGCGAAAGCAUUUGCCAAGGAUGUUUUCAUUAAUCAAGAACGAAAGUUAGGGGAUCGAAGACGAUCAGAUACCGUCGUAGUCUUAACCAUAAACUAUGCCGACUAGGGAUCGGAUGAUGUUAAUUUUUAAUGACUCAUUCGGCGCCUUAC